GAUGAACGCUAGCGAGAGGCCUAACACAUGCAAGUCGAGGGGUAACAGGGGAGCUUGCUCCCGCUGACGACCGGCGCACGGGUGAGUAACGCGUAUGCAACCUGCCCGCCACAGGGGGAUAGCCUUCCGAAAGGGAGAUUAAUACCGCAUAAGACCACGCCUGGGCAUCCAGGAGGGUAAAAUAUUCAUAGGUGGCGGCUGGGCAUGCGUGACAUUAGCUAGUUGGCGGGCAAACGGGCCCACCAAGGCGACGAUGUCUAGGGGAACUGAGAGGUCGAUCCCCCACACUGGUACUGAGACACGGACCAGACUCCUACGGGAGCAGCAGUGAGGAAUAUUGGUCAAUGGAGGAAACUCUGAACCAGCCAUCUCGCGUGAAGGACUAACGGCCCUAACGGGGUCUUAAAACUUCUUUAUAGGGGGAUAAAUGAUCCUACGUGUAGGAUUUGCAGGUACCGCAUGAAUAAGGACCGGC
rnacentral:rRNA from 1 species